rnacentral:rRNA from 1 species
AAACUUUCAACAACGGAUCUCUUGGUUCUCGCAUCGAUGAAGAACGCAGCGCAAUGCGCUAAGUAAUAUGCUUGAGAUUUUCGUGAAUCAUCGAAUCUUUGAACGCACAUUGCACAUUGGGUAUUCCAAUGGUAUGCUUGUUUGAGCGAAUA